rnacentral:rRNA from 1 species
GACGAACGCUGGCGGCGUGCCUAAUACAUGCAAGUAGAACGCUGAAGCGAGGAGCUUGCUCUUCUUGGAUGAGUUGCGAACGGGUGAGUAACGCGUAGGUAACCUGCCUGGUAGCGGGGGAUAACUAUUGGAAACGAUAGCUAAUACCGCAUAAAAUUGAUUAUUGCAUGAUAAUUAAUUGAAAGAUGCAACUGCAUCACUACCAGAUGGACCUGCGUUGUAUUAGUUAGUUGGUGAGGUAACGGCUCACCAAGGCGACGAUACAUAGCCGACCUGAGAGGGGGGUCGGCCACACUGGGACUGGGACACGGCCCAGACUCCUACGGGAGGCAGCAGUAGGGAAUCUUCGGCAAUGGGGGGAACCCUGACCGAGGAACGCCGGGGGAGUGGAGAAGGUUUUCGGAUCGUGAAGCUCUGUUGUCAGAGAAGAACGGGUGUGAGAGUGGAAAGUUCACACUGUGACGGUAGCUUACCAGAAAGGGACGGCUAACUACGUG